CCUACGGGUGGCAGCAGUGAGGAAUAUUGGUCAAUGGACGGAAGUCUGAACCAGCGAUGCCGCGUGCAGGAUGACGGCUCUAUGAGUUGUAAACUGCUUUUGUAUUAGGGUACACACCCCUACGUGUAGGGGCUUGAAAGUAUAAUACGAAUAAGGAUCGGCUAACCCCGCGCCAGCCGCCGCGGUAAUACGGAGGGUCCAAGCGUUAUCCGGAUUUAUUGGGGUUAAAGGGUGCGUAGGCGGUUUGAUAAGUUAGAGGUGAAAUACCGGUGCUCAACACCGGAACUGCCUCUAAUACUGUCGAACUAGAGAGUAGGUGCGGUAGGCGGAAUGUAUGGUGUAGCGGUGAAAUGCGUAGAGAUCAGACAGAACACCGAUUGCGAAGGCAGCUUACCAAACUAUAACUGACGUUGAGGCACGAAAGCGUGGGUAGCAAACAGGAUUAGAUACCCGGGUAGUC
rnacentral:rRNA from 1 species